rnacentral:rRNA from 1 species
ACGGGGGGUGCAAGCGUUGUUCGGAAUUAUUGGGCGUAAAGCGCGUGUAGGCGGUUUGUUAAGUCUGAUGUGAAAGCCCUGGGCUCAACCCAGGAAGUGCAUUGGAUACUGGCAGACUUGAAUACGGGAGAGGGUAGUGGAAUUCCUGGUGGAGGGGUGCAAGCCGUAGUUAUCAGGAGGAGCAGCGGUGGCGAAGGCGGCUGCCUGGACCGAUAUCGACGCUGAGACGCGAAAGCGUGUGUAGAAAACAG